rnacentral:rRNA from 1 species
UAGCUGGUCUGAGAGGAUGACCAGCCACACUGGAACUGAGACACGGUCCAGACUCCUACGGGAGGCAGCAGUGGGGAAUAUUGGACAAUGGGGGCAACCCUGAUCCAGCAAUGCCGCGUGUGUGAAGAAGGCCUGAGGGUUGUAAAGCACUUUCAGUGGGGAGGAGGAUKGAUAGGUUAAGAGCUARUUAAUUGGACGUUACCCACAGAAGAAGCACCGGCUAACUCCGUGCCAGCAGCCGCGGUAAUACGGAGGGUGCGAGCGUUAAUCGGAAUUACUGGGCGUAAAGGGUGCGUAGGUGGUUUAUUAAGUUAUCUGUGAAAUCCCUGGGCUUAACCUGGGCAGGUCAGAUAAUACUGGUURACUCGAGUAUGG